GAGCAUACUAAGGUGUGGUGAGGUGCUUAUAGCUAUACUGCUUCUCAAUAGCACACGGCAGUGUCUACUAUUUUGUAAGUAUCAAAACUUUUGAUCUUUUUUUUGGUAGACAUGGGUAAAUAAUGUAGUGAAAUUGUGAAACAAACAAGGGACUUUUGUUUUAGAGAACAAAUUGAAGUCACAGCAUGAACCCUAAGAAUCCUCAAGGACCAGACUAUCCGGACUAUCCACCUCCAGCUUAUUCUGAAGAUCCAAGAUAUCCUCCCAAGGCAACCGGUUAUGAAUCAAGUCCAGAUGGUCGAGGUUAUUCUUCAGGUCCACCAAGUCAGGGAUGGCCUCAAGGAGCAGGUGGUCCAGCUUAUCCACAAGGUUCCUCAGGUCAAGGAUGGCCACAGGCUAUAGGGGGUCCAGGUUAUCCGCCAGGUCCAUCAGGUCAAGGAUGGCCACAGGGUGUAGGGGGUGCAGGUUAUCCGCCAGGUUCCCCCUGUCCUCCAGGACCAGGUGGUACAUAUGUACCACCUCAUGGAGAUGGUCAAUGUCAUUGUGGACAUAAACAUAAACAUAAACAUAAGAAGCACUGUGGCAGCAGUGAAAAUGAUUCAGAUGAUGAUGAAGAACGUAGACACAGGCGUAGACGUAGGAUUGGACUUGGACUUGGGCUGGGGCUUGGGCUUGGACCUGGAUUGGCACUUGCAAUUGGACGUGGACUUGAACGUAGGCGUGGCUGUGGUCGUGGUUGUGGUCGUGGUCGUGGACGUGGACAUUGCUGCGACCAUUGCUAAAAUCAGAGGCAGAAAAACUCCCAAGAAAGUGGAUUCACAGAGGAUUCCUACAACCUGUCAUCAUGUCCACACAUAACACAUAGGUGUAAAUAUAUCUAUGCAUCAAAUAGGCUAUAAAAAUGUGUGAUGAAUAUUUUUUCAAAGUUCACAUUGUGUGAUAAAUAAAAUUCUGUCAAUCUGGUGUGAGAAAUUCA
rnacentral:lncRNA from 1 species